ACUCAAAGGAAUUGACGGGGGCCCGCACAAGCAGUGGAGCAUGUGGUUUAAUUCGAUGCAACGCGAAGAACCUUACCUGGGCUCGAAAUGUAGAGGACGACAUCAGAGAUGAUGUUUCCCGAAAGGGUCUCUAUAUAGGUGCUGCAUGGCUGUCGUCAGCUCGUGCCGUGAGGUGUUUGGUUAAGUCCAGCAACGAGCGCAACCCUUAUCGUUAGUUGCCAACACGUGAAGGUGGGAACUCUAACGAGACUGCCUGGGUUAACCAGGAGGAAGGUGAGGAUGACGUCAAGUCCGCAUGGCCUUUAUGUCCAGGGCUACACACGUGCUACAAUGGUCGGUACAGAAGGCAGCGAAACCGCAAGGUGAAGCAAAUCCCGAAAAACCGAUCUCAGUUCAGAUUGUAGUCUGCAACUCGGCUACAUGAAGUUGGAAUUGCUAGUAAUGGCGUGUCAGCAACAACGCCGUGAAUACGUUCCCGGGCCUUGUACACACCGCCCGU
rnacentral:rRNA from 1 species